ensembl:snRNA U4 U4 spliceosomal RNA
AGCUUUGCGCAGUGGCAGUAUUGCAGCCAAUGAGGUCUAUCUGAGGCACGAUUAUUGCUAAUUGAAAAGUAGAGGACAGAUGAGGUUUUCCUUUUUCCAUAGUAUAAAAGCCAAGUUUGUAGUUUUUCUCUCUGUAUGAUUAAAAAA